AGUGAACGCUGGCGGUAGGCCUAACACAUGCAAGUCGAACGGCAGCACAGUAAGAGCUUGCUCUUACGGGUGGCGAGUGGCGGACGGGUGAGGAAUACAUCGGAAUCUACUUUUUCGUGGGGGAUAACGUAGGGAAACUUACGCUAAUACCGCAUACGACCUACGGGUGAAAGCAGGGGAUCUUCGGACCUUGCGCGAUUGAAUGAGCCGAUGUCGGAUUAGCUAGUUGGCGGGGUAACGGCCCACCAAGGCGACGAUCCGUAGCUGGUCUGAGAGGAUGAUCAGCCACACUGGAACUGAGACACGGUCCAGACUCCUACGGGAGGCAGCAGUGGGGAAUAUUGGACAAUGGGCGAAAGCCUGAUCCAGCAAUACCGCGUGGGUGAAGAAGGCCUUCGGGUUGUAAAGCCCUUUUGUUGGGAAAGAAAAGCAGCAGGUUAAUACCCCGCUGUUCUGACGGUACCCAAAGAAUAAGCACCGGCUAACUUCGUG
rnacentral:rRNA from 1 species